GCUGCUGUAGCUCAGUUGGUAGAGCACGUCCUUGGUAAGGACGAGGUCAUGGGUUCGAGUCCCAUCAGCAGCUCCA
rnacentral:tRNA from 1 species